AAGGGGAGAAAAAAAGGAGAGAAAAGGGAAAGAAGCGCUAGUUCUUAAAAAUCUACUCUCUUAUCAUUUAACUUCUCUCUGGGACAUAAAGUCUCAUUUUUAAGAACUAGCGCUUCUUUCCCUUUUCUCUCCUUUUUUUCUCCCCUUCU